UUGUUAUCAAGAAAGGUUGAGGGAUUAGACCCGAGGAAGCCUUAGCAACCCUUUAUCUUUAAAGAAGGUGCUAAUUUCUACUGAUUCUUUCUGAACUAGGUUCAGAUCUUCAGAGAGAUAACGG
rnacentral:ncRNA from 1 species